rnacentral:rRNA from 1 species
UGGUGGGUAGUUUGACUGGGGCGGUCUCCUCCUAAAGAGUAACGGAGGAGCACGAAGGUUGGCUAAUCCUGGUCGGACAUCAGGAGGUUAGUGCAAUGGCAUAAGCCAGCUUGACUGCGAGCGUGACGGCGCGAGCAGGUGCGAAAGCAGGUCAUAGUGAUCCGGUGGUUCUGAAUGGAAGGGCCAUCGCUCAACGGAUAAAAGGUACUCCGGGGAUAACAGGCUGAUACCGCCCAAGAGUUCAUAUCGACGGCGGUGUUUGGCACCUCGAUGUCGGCUCAUCACAUCCUGGGGCUGAAGUAGGUCCCAAGGGUAUGGCUGUUCGCCAUUUAAAGUGGUACGCGAGCUGGGUUUAGAACGUCGUGAGACAGUUCGGUCCCUAUCUGCCGUGGGCGCUGGAGAACUGAGGGGGGCUGCUCCUAGUACGAGAGGACCGGAGUGGACGCAUCACUGGUGUUCGGGUUGUCAUGCCAAUGGCACUGCCCGGUAGCUAAAUGCGGAAGAGAUAAGUGCUGAAAGCAUCUAAGCACGAAACUUGCCCCGGGAUGAGUUCUCCCUGAGACUUAGAGUCUCCUGAAGGAACGUUGAAGACGACGACGUUGAUAGGCCGGG